AUUGAACGCUGGCGGCAGGCCUAACACAUGCAAGUCGAACGGUAACAGGAAGCAGCUUGCUGCUUCGCUGACGAGUGGCGGACGGGUGGGUAAUGUCUGGGAAACUGCCUGAUGGAGGGGGAUAACUACUGGAAACGGUAGCUAAUACCGCAUAACGUCGCAAGACCAAAGAGGGGGACCUUAGGGCCUCUUGCCAUCGGAUGUGCCCAGAUGGGAUUAGCUAGUAGGUGGGGUAACGGCUCACCUAGGCGACGAUCCCUAGCUGGUCUGAGAGGAUGACCAGCCACACUGGAACUGAGACACGGUCCAGACUCCUACGGGAGGCAGCAGUGGGGAAUAUUGCACAAUGGGCGCAAGCCUGAUGCAGCCAUGCCGCGUGUAUGAAGAAGGCCUUCGGGUUGUAAAGUACUUUCAGCGGGGAGGAAGGGAGUAAAGUUAAUACCUUUGCUCAUUGACGUUACCCGCAGAAGAAGCGCCGGCUAACUCCGUG
rnacentral:rRNA from 1 species